rnacentral:piRNA from 1 species
UCUUUCUGAAAAGGAAAAAAAAUGGGUCUU